AGAGUUUGAUCCUGGCUCAGAUUGAACGCUGGCGACAGGCCUAACACAUGCAAGUCGAACGGUAACGGAAAGCAGCUUGCUGCUUUGCUGACGAGUGGCGGACGGGUGAGUAAUGUCUGGGAAACUGCCUGAUGGAGGGGGAUAACUACUGGAAACGGUAGCUAAUACCGCAUAACGUCGCAAGACCAAAGAGGGGGACCUUCGGGCCUCUUGCCAUCGGAUGUGCCCAGAUGGGAUUAGCUAGUAGGUGGGGUAACGGCUCACCUAGGCGACGAUCCCUAGCUGGUCUGAGAGGAUGACCAGCCACACUGGAACUGAGACACGGUCCAGACUCCUACGGGAGGCAGCAGUGGGGAAUAUUGCACAAUGGGCGCAAGCCUGAUGCAGCCAUGCCGCGUGUAUGAAGAAGGCCUUCGGGUUGUAAAGUACUUUCAGCGGGGAGGAAGGGAGUAAAGUUAAUACCUUUGCUCAUUGACGUUACCCGCAGAAGAAGCACCGGCUAACUCCGUGCCAGCAGCCGCGGUAAUACGGAGGGUGCAAGCGUUAAUCGGAAUUACUGGGCGUAAAGCGCACGCAGGCGGUUUGUUAAGUCAGAUGUGAAAUCCCCGGGCUCAACCUGGGAACUGCAUCUGAUACUGGCAAGCUUGAGUCUCGUAGAGGGGGGUAGAAUUCCAGGUGUAGCGGUGAAAUGCGUAGAGAUCUGGAGGAAUACCGGUGGCGAAGGCGGCCCCCUGGACGAAGACUGACGCUCAGGUGCGAAAGCGUGGGGAGCAAACAGAAUUAGAUACCCUGGUAGUCCACGCCGUAAACGAUGUCGACUUGGAGGUUGUGCCCCAUGAGGCGUGGGUUUCCGGAGAUAACGCGUGAAGUCGACCCGCCCUGGGGGAGGACGGCCGCAAAGGUUAAAACUCCAAAUGAAUUGACGGGGGCCCGCACAAGCGGUGGAGCAUGUGGUUUAAUUCGAUGCAACGCGAAGAACCUUACCUGGUCUUGACAUCCACAGAACUUUCCAGAGAUGGAUUGGUGCCUUCGGGAACUGUAAGACAGGUGCUGCAUGGCUGUCGUCAGCUCGUGUUGUGAAAUGUUGGGUUAAGUCCCGCAACGAGCGCAACCCUUAUCCUUUGUUGCCAGCGGUCCGGCCGGGAACUCAAAGGAGACUGCCAGUGAUAAACUGGAGGAAGGUGGGGAUGACGUCAAGUCAUCAUGGCCCUUACGACCAGGGCUACACACGUGCUACAAUGGCGCAUACAAAGAGAAGCGACCUCGCGAGAGCAAGCGGACCUCAUAAAGUGCGUCGUAGUCCGGAUUGGAGUCUGCAACUCGACUCCAUGAAGUCGGAAUCGCUAGUAAUCGUGGAUCAGAAUGCCACGGUGAAUACGUUCCCGGGCCUUGUACUCACCGCCCGUCA
rnacentral:rRNA from 1 species